rnacentral:rRNA from 1 species
GACGAACGCUGGCGGCGUGCCUAAUACAUGCGAGUAGAACGCUGAAGGAGGAGCUUGCUUCUCUGGAUGAGUUGCGAACGGGUGAGUAACGCGUAGGUAACCUGCCUGGUAGCGGGGGAUAACUAUUGGAAACGAUAGCUAAUACCGCAUAAUAGCAGUUGUUGCAUGACAACUGUUUGAAAGGUGCAAUUGCACCACUACCAGAUGGACCUGCGUUGUAUUAGCUAGUUGGUGGGGUAACGGCUCACCAAGGCGACGAUACAUAGCCGACCUGAGAGGGGGAUCGGCCACACUGGGACUGAGACACGGCCCAGACUCCUACGGGAGGCAGCAGUAGGGAAUCUUCGGCAAUGGACGGAAGUCUGACCGAGCAACGCCGCGUGAGUGAAGAAGGUUUUCGGAUCGUAAAGCCCUGUUGUAAGAGAAGAACGAGUGUGAGAGUGGAAAGUUCACACUGUGACGGUAUCUUACCAGAAAGGGACGGCUAACUACGUG